rnacentral:rRNA from 1 species
UACGAGGGGGGCAAGCGUUGUUCGGAAUUACUGGGCGUAAAGGGUGUGCAGGCGGCUUGGUAAGUGUGGUGUGAAAUCUCCCGGCUUAACUGGGAGGGUGCGCUACAAACUGCCGGGCUAGAGUGUGGGAUGGGAGAGUGGAAUUCCUGGUGUAGCGGUGAAAUGCGUAGAUAUCAGGAGGAACACCGGUGGUGUAGACGGCUCUCUGGACCAUAACUGACGCUGAGACACGAAAGCGUGGGUAGCAAACAGG